rnacentral:rRNA from 1 species
GUGUCAGCAGCCGCGGUAAUACGGAGGAUGCAAGCGUUAUCCGGAAUGAUUGGGCGUAAAGGGUCCGCAGGUGGCAGUGUAAGUCUGCUGUCAAAGAAUGAGGCUCAACCUCAUCAAGGCAGUGGAAACUACACAGCUAGAGUACGGUCGGGGUAGAAGGAAUUCCUGGUGUAGCGGUGAAAUGCGUAGAGAUCAGGAAGAACACCGGUGGCGAAAGCGUUCUGCUAGGCCUGUACUGACACUGAGGGACGAAAGCUAGGGGAGCGAAUGGGAUUAGAAACCCCUGUAGUCC